rnacentral:rRNA from 1 species
CAGCCGCCGCGGUAAUACCGGCGGCCCGAGUGGCGGUCACUAUUAUUGGGCUUAAAGCGUCCGUAGCCGGGUUGGGAAGUCCUCCGGGAAAUCUGGCCGCUUAACGGUCAGAAUGCCGGAGGAUACUCCCAGCCUAGGGAGCGGGAGAGGCCGAGGGUAUUCCCGGAGUAGGGGGGAAAUCCUAUAAUCCCGGGAGGACCACCUGUGGCGAAGGCGCUCGGCUGGAACGGGUCCGACGGUGAGGGACGAAGGCCAGGGGAGCAAACCGGAUUAGAUACCCGGGUAGUCCUGGCUGUAAACGAUGCGGACUUUGUGUCGGACAAGCUAUGAGCUUGUCCGGUGCCGGAGGGAAACCGUUAAGUCCGCCGCCUGGGGAGUACGGCCGCAAGGCUGAAACUUAAAGGAAUUGGCGGG